ACAUCUUUUCCACAUCAGAUGGAAACCAGUUUUGCAGCCUCCUUAAUGUAGGUACUGUGACUGAGGCAACCAGAGAAACAGUGGACACCUCCCUGGCCCCACUUCCCCAGUGCCUUGAAGUCUGAGAAAAACACUGAUUAACAUUUCCAGGCUGCUGUAUUUCCCUCACCAGCCUCAAACCCCGGAUCCCCCUUCCUGCAACCAUCGCAAGGGCGUGAAUGUCCCCAGGGGGCAGGUUGCAGAGUUGCUUAGAUCCGGAACUGCAUCCCAGUUUGUCCAUCUGUGUGUCUAUGUCUGAGUAAGUGAGUUGCUUCUCAGCGCUCUGCAGGACUCUGGUGUUGCCUGUUUGGCCUGGGGCCGAUUCCUCCAAAGCAAUGUGUCUCUUUGCAGAGUCUCUUAGAGCUGCAAGGCAGUCUGGGAUCAUCAGAGAGUAUGCUGGGACGCUUCAGAAAUGGAGGUCCUGGUAGAAAAUGUCCUUUGGCGUGGCCUCUGAAGAGUCCAAACGGGGGACAGGACCCCCGAAAGCGGUGCAGCUGGCACAGAAGAGGAUGGCUUUGCUACCAUUGGGAAAACUUAUCCGCCACAUCCUCAUGAGGCAAACACCUUUCUCUACCUUACCAGCUCCUCAGGUGGCCUGCCUGUUGCCUUCUUAUUCAAGACUAAGACUCUCUAGAAUGUUCUUUAUCCUGAGUCCAGCUGAUUGUCUAUACUAAUAUCAGUACGGGGUGCAGAUGAAGACAGCCAGUGUGCCUUGCUCCCAAGCACCCCCUCCCCAAACCCCAGGAGUUUCUGGAACAUUCCAACUCUGCUUGAGGGUAUCCAUGCAGCAUCUACUACCAUGAACGGGUAGCCUGACCUGUGGAAAACUUCUAUGAUUCACCUGAGGGUAACUGCCCUUUGUGAUUUGAAAGAGCGAUGCUGACAGAAGGUGUUGUCAUUUCUGAACUUUGUACUCUCUGCAGCGACUGCUGAAUUCAUGUAUUUUAGGAAGACCUACUUGGUUCUACAUGUAGCUAAAACAAUUCAGUAACCGCACAGGCAAUUCUGCAAUAGGUCUUGGAGUGAUGAAAUCAAGAAGGAAAAGUUCUGUCUCUCCAGUUAGAAACUGUUGAGCAGAAAGGUAUAAGUCAGGCUUUUCCUAUUACAGGUCUCCUUCUGUGUGAAGAGGAAGUUCAGUUUUCAUUUAUCUCUCGCGCCCUUUGAAGUACAGGCCUCUGUCUGCUUAAUGGCCCAAACCGGGGCGACUAGGAUGAAUUCCUUUUACAUCAAACACACCCCUGUCUGAAAAGGCAGUAAUAUUUCUCAACAAGUAAACCUGCCAUGACUUUGGUGUUUGCAAGCUGAAGAUGGUUACCCAGUGUGGUUGCUAAUGGAGCAAAAAUGCGCAUAGAGGAGGGAGCAGGCAGAGGUGACUGGGGACCCUUUCACAGGUUGUCUAACCACAAACCCAUCUCUUCUAAUCCAUUCUACUCACAGGGCAGGCUGUCUCCUGUAGGGGCCAAAAGAAAAAAAAAAAACAGAAAAUGGAGAUGGGAGAAAGAGAGGAGAAGAAAGGAAGAAAAGAUGAAACGUGGAGAAAUAGCAAAAGGAAAUGAAAAGAACUUUAUUGCUCAGUUUCUUCUCCUGCCUGACCCAAUUAUCAGAUUUUGCAUUUAAGUUUAAGACAGUAGAUCAAACAGCGAGAGGCACUUUGUACUUCUGCCAGGAGACCAUAUGAUAUCUCUCAGUGACUCUCCUGCAUGCCAGGAACACGGACCCAUGCCUCUUAGCCGGGUCUGCAUAUGGUGCAAUGCGUGAAAAAACAGCAAAAUUCAUAAGUGACUGCACUCGUGGGUGAUGUCCAGGAUUUACGGUGCUUUAUCAGUUAAAGCCAAAAAAAAAAAAAAAAAAAAA
ensembl:lncRNA